rnacentral:lncRNA from 12 species
CGCGGGCCCGCGCACGUAGGGACGCAGGGGGCGCGCCUCGCGCCGCGCAUGCGCGCUGGAGCUGCUGCGGUCCUGCCCCUCUGGUCAAGUCAGAGGCGGGUCUUGCAGCCCUGACGCUUUGGUUAUGCGGAGGGUGGUUUUGUGCAGGUGACAGCUUUUCGGUCUGCCCUCCACAUACGAACUCUCGAUAACUUUCAAGAGCCAGGUGAGAAGAGGGCAGUGUUAUACUAGGAGAAACCACUUGGAGAUAAUGCCAGGUGCUUUUCGGUGUGAUUUGCAGGAAAUUCUCCCACCAGAGACCCGUAUUAUGCCUGGCAUACAGGAGGCAUUCAGAACAUUUGAUGACUAGAAGUGUGUGUCUAUCUCAAUGACACAGGUCUCUAAAACCCUUGCUGACAGUGUUUGGACCAAGAGGCUGGCAGCUAUGAUGGGAGCUCUGGUAGAAGGUAUUGUUUGUAACUGCUUGUGCCGCAUGGUAGGUAAGUGCUAUCAGGAACUGAUCAUGGGAGGCAGAUGGAGUGGACUUUUGAUUGGUUUGACCAGAAAGGACUGUGAAUGGCUGUGUUAG